rnacentral:piRNA from 1 species
CCAUUGGAUGAUGAUGAGGCCU